UACAGAGGGGGCAAGCGUUGUUCGGAAUUACUGGGCGUAAAGGGCGCGUAGGCGGCCUUCUAAGUCGAACGUGAAAUCCCCGGGCUCAACCCGGGAACUGCGUCCGAUACUGGAAGGCUUGAAUCCGGGAGAGGGAUGCGGAAUUCCAGGUGUAGCGGUGAAAUGCGUAGAUAUCAAGAGGAACACCUGCGGCGAAGGCGGGUUGCUGGGCCGACACUGACGCUGAUGCGCGAAAGCCAGGGGAGCGAACGGG
rnacentral:rRNA from 1 species